UACGUAGGGUGCAAGCGUUAUCCGGAAUUAUUGGGCGUAAAGAGCUCGUAGGCGGUUUGUCGCGUCUGCUGUGAAAACCCGAGGCUCAACCUCGGGCCUGCAGUGGGUACGGGCAGACUAGAGUGCGGUAGGGGAGAUUGGAAUUCCUGGUGUAGCGGUGGAAUGCGCAGAUAUCAGGAGGAACACCGGUGGCGAAGGCGGUUCUCUGGGCCUUACCUGACGCUGAGGAGCGAAAGCGUGGGGAGCGAACAGG
rnacentral:rRNA from 1 species